AGAGUUUGAUCCUGGCUCAGAUUGAACGCUGGCGGCAUGCCUUACACAUGCAAGUCGAACGGUAACAGGUCUUCGGAUGCUGACGAGUGGCGAACGGGUGAGUAAUACAUCGGAACGUGCCCAGUAAUGGGGGAUAGCUCGGCGAAAGCCGGAUUAAUACCGCAUACGCCCUGAGGGGGAAAGUGGGGGACCGCAAGGCCUCACGUUAUUGGAGCGGCCGAUGGCUGAUUAGCUAGUUGGUAGGGUAAAGGCCUACCAAGGCGACGAUCAGUAGCUGGUCUGAGAGGACGAUCAGCCACACUGGGACUGAGACACGGCCCAGACUCCUACGGGAGGCAGCAGUGGGGAAUUUUGGACAAUGGGGGAAACCCUGAUCCAGCAAUGCCGCGUGUGCGAAGAAGGCCUUCGGGUUGUAAAGCACUUUUGUCAGGGAAGAAAUCCUUUGGGCUAAUACCCUAGGGGGAUGACGGUACCUGAAGAAUAAGCACCGGCUAACUACGUGCCAGCAGCCGCGGUAAUACGUAGGGUGCAAGCGUUAAUCGGAAUUACUGGGCGUAAAGCGUGCGCAGGCGGUUGUGUAAGACAGGUGUGAAAUCCCCGGGCUUAACCUGGGAAUUGCAUUUGUGACUGCACGACUAGAGUGUGUCAGAGGGGGGUGGAAUUCCACGUGUAGCAGUGAAAUGCGUAGAUAUGUGGAGGAACACCAAUGGCGAAAGCAGCCCCCUGGGAUAACACUGACGCUCAUGCACGAAAGCGUGGGGAGCAAACAGGAUUAGAUACCCUGGUAGUCCACGCCCUAA
rnacentral:rRNA from 1 species